rnacentral:lncRNA from 1 species
AUGGGAGUGGCAAACUGUAGAAGAGGUGGCCACAGGACUCCAGCUUCUUGCUCAGGGAGAAGUCUGGAUCGUCUUAACUGUGCGGCUCAAUCAUCGCAAGCUGCGGAGAGCCCCCACCCUGGCAUCUGCUGUUGGCCAGAGCCCUUCAGGUUGACCCGCAGCGCUGCGCAGUUGGCUGUAAGUGACGCCUUCCGGACAGUUGGUGGUUUUCAACAGCUAAGGGCUGUGCUAAACCCAUAGCAGACGCCUACACUGCACCUCCACUGCUAUCCCCAGGGGCAGGUGCGGGCUCAGCUCACGUUGCACACGGGAGGAAGAACCGUUCUGCAGAGCACAGCCUGUGACCCGCCCCUCUUCCCCGCCUCCCAGAGCUAUCAGUGAAUAAAGAAAAGACUGUGCCUCUAUCUAU